UACGUAGGGUGCUAGCGUUGUCCGGAUUUAUUGGGCGUAAAGAGCUCGUAGGUGGCCUGUCGCGUCGGCUGUGAAAACUCGGGGCUCAACUCCGAGCUUGCAGUCGAUACGGGCAGGCUAGAGUUCGGCAGGGGAGACUGGAAUUCCUGGUGUAGCGGUGAAAUGCGCAGAUAUCAGGAGGAACACCGGUGGCGAAGGCGGGUCUCUGGGCCGAUACUGACACUGAGGAGCGAAAGCGUGGGGAGCGAACAGG
rnacentral:rRNA from 1 species